UGUCUUUUUGGUUCCUUCAGGAUGCAAACCAACAACAUUGUCAGAAUGAAGUUCAAGGAAAUAUUUUUUUUCUUCAAAACCUUUUACAUUUGAAAUGUUUUUGGAAUGUGUUUGCCAAUGGUUUGUCUUCCUUCAGUUGCCAAAAAAUUGUCCUACAAUGGAUGUUAAAGUCUUUGAUGAGUCAAUCAUGAUGAGGAAUCAUUCGACUACCUGCUGACAUGACCAGACCUUGGUGUCCUAGAAAUUUUCAUCCCAGGCACAGCAAGUCCCAAAGAUUCUUUAAGCUUUAGGAGAUACCGAGGGCACGUCAGAGUCUGAUGACCCAGCAAUGUUGAUUAGAAGUCCUCCUGAAAAAAUCAAGUUGAGGAACGUCGUCUUGCCCAAAUGUUCGAAGAUAUCCUAAAGAGCAGCCCUGGAGGUGAAAAGGUCAUAAAAAAAUACGCACACACUAAAAGUCUGUCAGAUGGCCGAAGACGUGACAUGGUGAAAAUCUUGGUAGCACAUUUGACAAAUGAACAUGGAACAAGCACA